rnacentral:misc_RNA from 1 species
GAAGCAACUUGGGGGGCAGAAUGAUAAGAUGAUCAGAAACACAAGUUAAAUGGCAGGACAAAGAAAUGUUAUCGAAGUUGUAAUUCAUAAGAGUAUAGUAGAUUGAUAAUUUACGGAAUGCCAACUUGGUCACCAUUAAUCAAAUUUUGAAUUCUGCUAACCUUCCUCAUCAGAACAAAAUCUCCUAUUUUAGUUUUUGUUUUUCUGUUCAGAAGAAAAAAAGAAGCAAAAUAAUUUGUUGAAAAAGCAAAUAUCUUUAAGCCUUCAAUAAUUCACAUACCACAAGCAC